rnacentral:rRNA from 1 species
CGUAGGGUGCAAGCGUUGUUCGGAAUUACUGGGCGUAAAGCGCGCGCAGGCGGGCUUAUAAGUCGAUUGUGAAAUCCCCGGGCUUAACCUGGGAAUUGCAGUCGAAACUGUAAGUCUUGAGUGCCUAAGAGGAUGGCGGAAUUCCCGGUGUAGUAGUGAAAUACGUAGAUAUCGGGAAGAACACCUGAGGCGAAGGCGGCUAUCUGGUGGUGCACUGACGCUGAGGCGCGAAAGCGUGGGGAGCAAACAGGAUUAGAUACCCUGGUAGUCCACGCCGUAAACUAUGGAUACUAGGUGUCUGGGAUGUUAACCUCCUAGGUACCGAAGCUCACGCAUUAAGAUCCCGCCUGGGGAGUACGGUCGCAAGACUA